UACGUAGGGGGCAAGCGUUGUCCGGAUUUACUGGGCGUAAAGGGCGCGUAGGCGGCCUCUGCAAGUCGACUGUGAAAUCUCCGGGCUUAACCCGGAAAGGUCAGCCGAUACUGCAGGGCUAGAGUGCAGAAGGGGCAACUGGAAUUCUCGGUGUAGCGGUGAAAUGCGUAGAUAUCGAGAGGAACACCUGCGGCGAAGGCGGGUUGCUGGGCUGACACUGACGCUGGAAGCGCGAAAGCUAGGGGAGCGAACGGG
rnacentral:rRNA from 1 species